AAUUUCUUUCAGAAUGAUUGGUUUCAUUUUAAAGUGUUUUGAGUCAGUUUAAUAAGAACCUAAACUAAAUUGCUCUUGUACACGAGCUGUGGAGUUUCAACUUGAUGGGGCAAUGUGUCAACUUAAAAUAAAAUGUUAGGCUUUUUGUAGAACACACAGCAUUGGUGACCUUGGCCCUCUGGAGAGAUUAGAUUUCCCCAAUUGAUACAUUUGUGCUUGGCACAGGGGGAAUGAAUGCAUUUGGAAGUGAAUUUUUCUGAUGUUUUUUGCCUGUUUAUUUGUACAUAGUCUUGCAGGCUCAGAUCUGAUUUUAUUGACAUUACAUAAGUUCCCCCAAAAGACAGAAUAACAAUGAAAAUCUUAUUUACUUGGUUAUUACUCAGAUGUCCAUGGUUUGGAAGACUUAAAUUAGAAUAGAGAUGAGAUUAUAAAAUAUCGAUUCUGGUAAGUCAUUAUUAGCAACAAUUCAGUGUUCUGGGAUUCCUGAUAGUUUGGUUUUAUAAUACAAGCCUUCCAGGUGAGAAGGCAGGAAGAAAUGAGGGCCCUCAGAUUCAUUCAAUUCGUGUAACUAAUAUUACUGUGAUCAAAAUAGACAAGAGAUAGUGGAAAACAAAACAAAACCAAAAAAGAUAUUGACUAUCCUGAGCUAAGAUUUGUUGCUAAUUUCUGCUCUGAGUUCCCCAAAUAUAUUUUUCAUUAUGUGCAUCUCUAUGUUUGCAUAAAGCUAAUGAACGGACUUCAUGGUGAGCAGAAGAAAAAACAAGUGAGUUAGAGAUUUGGGGGGAUCACAAGACAUUGUGAAAAUUAUUAUGAGAUGAAGGAAAGCCAUCUUUACCCCCCGUAUGUGUUCAGGCAAUGAGCAGAAGUGAUGGGUGCAGUGAAGGCAGAAGCAGAUGUAACAGAAGUAUAAUGGAUAGCUAUUUACAAAUGUCUUCCAUUUAUAAAUUAGUUUGACAUCAGACAUGCAUGAUAUGACUUGCUAAAUAAAGAUAUAGUGUCUUCUAUGAGAAUCAGAUAAAAUCAUCUCAAAUAAAAAUAUGAGAUGCAUAUUAACAUAUAAUUUUUAAUAUAAAUGCAUAAACAGGAAUAGAAGUUAAAUUGGACACUGAAUUAAAAAAAUAUGUAGGUACCAUGGUGUAAAAAAGAGACAACGUAAUAUAGUGGAAAAGAUACUAGGUUUAAAGUCUGUUAAUCUGGGUCCAACUCAAAUUCUUUCUCUAGUUAAAUUUCUAAUCUUUGACGAAAUUCUUGAAUAUAUCUGGGUCUAUGUUUCCUAGUAUUAGAAAUAUGGGUAUAAUAAUACACAUGAUAAAUAAUAAUAAUAAUGAUCAUAUUUACUAUAGAGUGCUAUUUAGAUAUAUAUUAAGUGAGGUAAUAUAUUAGAAAAUCUUGAUAUUAAUGAUCUUUAUUUUUUUUAAGAUUUUUUUAUUUAUUCAUGAGAGGCAUAGAGAGAGAGAGAGAGAGAGGCAGAGACAUAGGCAGAGGGAGAAGCAGGCUCCAUGCUGGGAACCUGACGUGGGACUCGAUCGCCAGUCUCCAAGAUCACACCCGGGUCUGAAGGCGGUGCUAAACUGCUGAGCCACCCGGGCUGCCCAAUAUUAAUGAUCUUUAAUAAAUAUCAGAUCUCUUCUUUCUCCUUCCCACUAGUUAGAAUGCAUAGCAUUUGGUAAUGGGAAUAUUCACUUUGUAAUGAAAAUGGUAUAUUGAUAAGGGUAGAACUUCAAUCAUGAUCUUGCCUAUACUAUAAUUAGAAAUCACAUCUGAGAAAAAACAAUAAAUUAUGAUGAAUCUUCUUGGUGCUAUCACUGGUUUUAGUGUAAUUGCUCAUUAAGCCUUUAAAAUUAUUAGACCUUGUUAAUUAAAAAGACUUUCCUAAAAUGAGGACGCUUAUUCAUGUCAAAUGAUUUACAGUGAGAUCCUUUCUAAUUACAGAUGUUACAGCUUCAUUUGCAUAGUUGGGAUAGUUAGCUGCAGUCAGUGUUCACGAUAACAUGAAGAGGCUCCAGCACAUCAUGAAAUGUGUUUUGGGAACCAAAAUAAAAAUUGGUAAAGAGAACACUGUUGGGAUAGUUUUGUAUUAAAUCUUAACUACAAGCAAGCUUAUUGUUGAAAGAGAACACAGGUCUCAGAAUCAAGCAUUUUUGAUUUUGUUACUGGGAGCAUUAUCUCUUCCCUCCCAGAUGGAGAGAAAGGGUGAAUAAAAAAACCAGUGUUUAGUUAAGGCAAAUGCUGUGCUAAGAACUAUGUUAAAUAAUUUUUUUUUUCAGUGUAAGAGCAUAGCAGACAAUCUCUUACUAAUUUAUCUGAUUCUAUUAUUCAGUGAUGCUUUUAAGAGACUUUAUACUGUCAUUUAUAAUUUUUAAUGAAAAACUACCAUGGUAAAUGGGGCAGUACAUACACUGACUAUUGAGAACCUCUUAUCUACCAGGGACAAUAAAUCACAGAAUGGGAAAGGAAAUCAAACUUGGGUCAAAUAAAAAUAUUCUGUUUUAUAUAGAGAAAAUAUAAAAAGCAAAAAUAAUUUUCUAAUAUAAUAAAUGUUAAAAGCAUGCUAUUUAUCAUACUGUAUAAAAUUAUAUUUUCAGGAUAAUAUUGUAUAUCAAAAUAUAUAAAUAUCCAUUUCUUCUAUUCAAUAUGUAAUGGCCUAGAAAAAAAAUAUUUUCUACUGUAUAGAGAUGACUAAAUACCAGAAAAAGUCUAAUAAUUUUAGAAAAAUGAGAGAUUUUAUAAGGAAUAUAGAUCUGGUCUGAAUAAUUUCAAGGUAUGAAUAAUUUCAAGGUAUGAAUAAUUUCAAGGUAUGAAAAGAAUCUUAAAAGAAUGUUAAAAACAAUAAGUCAGUUCAUGAUAUACCUUCUGAUAUAUAUAUCAUACGGUGAAGGAUCUGAUAUGUGUGUAUAUAUAUAUAUAUAUAUAUGUAUACAGUGAAAGAUCACAGAAUCAUUUUGCAGUUUUCCUGACAAGAGUGCAUGAUCUUAAUAUAGUAAAGAAGAAAUGAUUAGACAAAUCAAUUGAGCAUCAAUUUUAAAACAACUGCCCUGUACUCUUCAAAAAUGAUCAUGUCAUGGAAAACAAGGAAAGACUGAAAAAUUAUUCUAGCAUAGAAAAUAUAUGAUAGCCUCCAUUUCUUCUCACAAAGGAGUAAAGGACUGGAUUUAAUUUCCUGUCUUAAACAAUUAGAAAACUUGACAAAAUUUAUGAACCAACCACCUUCACACAUGAAACAACAGAAAUCAUAGGAUCGUGAUUCCUGAAGGGAAACAAAUGAGUUGAGCCUGAUGACUACACUGGCUUUUUGCCCAGAGGCACAUUCCUCAACAGGUGGCAGAGAGGGACAUUCCAAGUAGUUCAUAGUGGUCUUCUGGGGUGAGAUGGGGAUCAGAGAUCAGGGAGUUUGAAGCAGCUGGAAGUUGCAGAGCAGUAUUUUGGAGAAGAAGACAUUACACAGGAAAAGAGCUCCAUAAAUCUGCAAAUGCAUUUCUAUGAAUUUUGUUGAAAAUGAAGAAAUGAGGCAAUCAGAUGAAACUCUAUGAAGCUGGAAAAUAGGGUGACUGAGAAAUUGUGAGCUGAAUGGUACAGAACUCAUGCAGGAAUGGAAAUCAUUUGAUUUUUUCAUUAGCCAGAAGAAAGAGUCCUUGUUGACUAUUGGCAGACAUUCAGUAAAGGCCUCAGAAGAGCCCUGCUUCAGUAGUGGGGUUAAUCUAUACCUAAAAUAAAGGGCACUCUAUAA
rnacentral:lncRNA from 1 species